rnacentral:snoRNA from 1 species
AGCAAUAUGAUGAAAACUUGUAUAUUCUGAAUUAUAUGUGGAAAUACAUAUUCAAUGGUCUUCAAAGUUCUCUGAUUGCU